UCAUCAGCUGUGGGCCUUGAGCCAGGGGUCCCUCUCACUCCUACAUAUACUUCCGUGCCUACAAAAUGAAGGGAUUGAACCAGAUGACCUGACACUCUUUGUUUCCUAAAACAUUUGGAAACCUUUCCUAAAUGCUCGUGCACUUAACUUUCUUGGUUCCUUCAGAGGUGAAUAAAUACAGUGGAUGUUUCCCUGUUUCCUUGUGGUCCUCACUACCUGAUGGUGACUUAUGAGACAAGAUGGGUCUGUUUUUAACUGCCCCUAAGUGGGGUGUGAAAUUUUCACCCACACCCACCUCUCCACAAAAACACACCUCUGAGUUCUCUACGUUUACCCCUCACUCGGGAAAUGGAAAUUGCUUUGAUUUAUCCUGAGCCCACCUUCUGAAAAAGCUGCUUUUUCCUGUUGUCUAGGAUUGGUUUGCAACCUUUCCAAGUCUUUUGCAUACUGUAUGAGUGGUGAAUCUUCGAGUUAGAGGUGGUAUUACAUACAGGAUUUCUCCAACUUACUUAGCCAGGGAACCCAAACACCCCUUGAAAAUGCCAUCUUACUAUGUAGCUAUCUCCCUUCACCUCCCAGCUGUAAUCCCAAAUAAACAUGUAACCUUCAGUAA
rnacentral:lncRNA from 1 species